GAUGAAGAACGUAGCGAAAUGCGAUAAGUAGUGUGAAUUGCAGAAUUCAGUGAAUCAUCGAAUCUUUGAACGCACAUUGCGCCCCUUGGUAUUCCAUGGGGCAUGCCUGUUCGAGCGUCAUUUGUACCUUCAAGCUUUGCUUGGUGUUGGGUGUUUGUCUCGCCUUUGCGUGUAGACUCGCCUUAAAAUAAUUAGCAGCCGGCGUAUUGAUUUCGGAGCGCAGUACAUCUCGCGCUUUGCACUCAUAACGACAGCGUCCAAAAGUACAUUUUACACUCUUGACCUCGGAUCAGGUAGGGAUACCCGCUGAACUUAAGCAUAUCAAUAAGCGGAGGA
rnacentral:misc_RNA from 1 species